rnacentral:tRNA from 1 species
GCCUGUGGCUCAGUGGUGGAGCAUGUUCCUACCAUGCAGAAGGCCUUGGGGUUCAAUCCCUAGCAUGGAA